UUUGGUAAACUAAAAAAUUAGAUCUAUAUUUCGGCUAUAGGCUUUGGACUAAACCCCUACCAAAU
rnacentral:tRNA from 1 species